rnacentral:lncRNA from 1 species
UUCAGUGUCCCCCAACUAGGAUUUCCUGCUUAUUCCCUCCUGAUUCAGAGUAUCCCCCAACUAGGAUUUCCUGCUUAUCCCCUCCUGAUUCAGAGUAUCCCCCAACUAGGAUUUCCUGCUUAUCCCCUCCUGAUUCAGAGUAUCCCCCAACUAGGAUUUCCUGCUUAUCCCCUCCUGAUUCAGUGUCCCCCAACUAGGAUUUCCUGCUUAUUCCCUCCUGAUUCAGAGUAUCCCCCAACUAGGAUUUCCUGCUUAUCCCCUCCUGAUUCAGAGUGUCCCCCAACUAGGAUUUCCUGCUUAUCCCCUCCUGAUUCAGAGUAUCCCCCAACUAGGAUUUCCUGCUUAUUCCCUCCUGAUUCAGAGUAUCCCCCAACUAGGAUUUCCUGCUUAUCCCCUCCUGAUUCAGAGUAUCCCCCAACUAGGAUUUCCUGCUUAUUCCCUCCUGAUUCAGAGUAUCCCCCAACUAGGAUUUCCUGCUUAUCCCCUACUGAUUCAGAGUAUCCCCCAACUAGGAUUUCCUGCUUAUUCCCUCCUGAUUCAGAGUAUCCCCCAACUAGGAUUUCCUGCUUAUCCCCUACUGAUUCAGAGUAUCCCCCAACUAGGAUUUCCUGCUUAUCCCCUCCUGAUUCAGAGUGUCCCCCAACUAGGAUUUCCUGCUUAUUCCCUCCUGAUUCAGAGUAUCCCCCAACUAGGAUUUCCUGCUUAUCCCCUACUGAUUCAGAGUAUCCCCCAACUAGGAUUUCCUGCUUAUCCCCUCCUGAUUCAGAGUAUCCCCCAACUAGGAUUUCCUGCUUAUUCCCUCCUGAUUCAGAGUAUCCCCCAACUAGGAUUUCCUGCUUAUCCCCUCCUGAUUCAGAGUAUCCCCCAACUAGGAUUUCCUGCUUAUCCCCUCCUGAUUCAGAGUAUCCCCCAACUAGGAUUUCCUGCUUAUUCCCUCCUGAUUCAGAGUAUCCCCCAACUAGGAUUUCCUGCUUAUCCCCUCCUGAUUCAGAGUAUCCCCCAACUAGGAUUUCCUGCUUAUCCCCUCCUGAUUCAGAGUAUCCCCAACUAGGAUUUCCUGCUUAUUCCCUCCUGAUUCAGAGUAUCCCCCAACUAGGAUUUCCUGCUUAUCCCCUCCUGAUUCGGAGUAUCCCCCAACUAGGAUUUCCUGCUUAUUCCCUCCUGAUUCAGAGUAUCCCCCAACUAGGAUUUCCUGCUUAUCCCCUCCUGAUUCAGAGUGUCCCCCAACUAGGAUUUCCUGCUUAUUCCCUCCUGAUUCAGAGUAUCCCCCAACUAGGAUUUCCUGCUUAUCCCCUCCUGAUUCAGUGUCCCCCAACUAGGAUUUCCUGCUUAUCCCCUCCUGAUUCAGAGUGUCCCCCAACUAGGAUUUCCUGCUUAUCCCCUCCUGAUUCAAUGUCCCCCAACUAG